rnacentral:tRNA from 1 species
GAGGGCUUGGCGAAACUGGUAGACGCAAGGCACUUAAAAUGCCUCGGCCUUGGCCGUGCGGGUUCGACCCCCGCAGCCCUCACCA